AUUAUUAUCCUUGUUCAACAGAAAUGAUAAUGAAGACACAGAGAGGUUAUAUAAUUUGCACAAGGUCACACAGCUAGUAAGUGGCAGAGCAUAGAUUUCAACCCAGGCAGCCAGAUUUCAGAUCCCAAACUCUUAGCCCUCCGAUGCCCUUUGUGAAUUCCUUAAUAGCACUUAUGUAGUGGCACAGAUAUCAGAGAGAACUUCUCUUAUGAUCCUUAUUAGACAUUUGGGGCAACUUUUACAUGAUUUUGGAAAACUACCCAGAUGGUGUCAAGAACAUGAAUGCCUUACUCAUAAUGAUUCCAACUCCCACCCAACCUCUUCCUGUAUUGGAUAAGUGGACCCAAAGGCUCUGUCGGCUUUCAUCUCUGAGACUUUGUUAGAACCCAAGACCCCAUGGUUCGACCUUCCCUGCUCCCCUGCAGCCCCUGUCUGCCCUAAUGAUCUCUCCACAGGCCUUCAGAACAACCUGUCCCCCAAGACAAAGGGCACUCCUGUGCACCUGGGCACCAUCGUGGGCAUCGUGCUGGCAGUCCUCCUCGUGGCGGCCAUCAUCCUGGCUGGAAUUUACAUCAAUGGCCACCCCACAUCCAAUGCUGCGCUCUUCUUCAUCGAGCGUAGACCUCACCACUGGCCAGCCAUGAAGUUUCGCAG
rnacentral:sRNA from 1 species